rnacentral:rRNA from 1 species
UACGUAGGUGGCAAGCGUUAUCCGGAAUUAUUGGGCGUAAAGCGCGCGCAGGCGGUUUCUUAAGUCUGAUGUGAAAGCCCACGGCUCAACCGUGGAGGGUCAUUGGAAACUGGGGAACUUGAGUGCAGAAGAGAAAAGCGGAAUUCCACGUGUAGCGGUGAAAUGCGUAGAGAUGUGGAGGAACACCAGUGGCGAAGGCGGCUUUUUGGUCUGUAACUGACGCUGAGGCGCGAAAGCGUGGGGAGCAAACAGA